GUUGUGGCUCAGCAGUAGAGCGCUUGCCUAGCACAUGUGAGGCCCUGGGUUCGAUCCUCAGCACCACA
rnacentral:tRNA from 1 species